AGUGCGGGGCAAGCCCCAGACCCGGCCGGCCAGGCUGCAGGGCAGGGAAGUUUGUCCUCUCACUUCUGGAGAAGAUGCAGACACAGGAGAUCCUGAGGAUACUGCGACUGCCUGAGCUAGGUGACUUGGGACAGUUUUUCCGCAGCCUCUCGGCCACCACCCUCGUGAGUAUGGGUGCCCUGGCUGCCAUCCUUGCCUACUGGUUCACUCACCGGCCAAAGGCCUUGCAGCCGCCAUGCAACCUCCUGAUGCAGUCAGAAGAAGUAGAGGUGAGCAGGAUAGGAGACGUUCCACUGCGGAAAGUAGGGGGCAGAGGACAGGCAUCUUGGAAGUAGAAGCCAGACUUGUGGCUUAUUUGACCUCACAUGGCCCAGAGAAGGUGUCUCCCCUGGCAGUCAGCCACUUAGCUCUGCAGCAGCCUUGGGCAGGGUCUCCUACCAGGCACUCCUUCUGCCUCUCCCAGGAACUGCCUCUGGGUAGAGCCUGACCUGGGCCUUGCACUGGGCCUCUAGUUUGCCUGCUUCUCGGGUAGGAGGGCCUUGGCU
rnacentral:lncRNA from 1 species